CUUUCUGUACAGGGUGUAAGUAAAAAAAUACAUCAGUAGUGCAUUGAUCGAACUAGUAAUAAAUACAUGUGAUAUAUGGAAGGACAAAAAGGAAAUGCUAUGAGACCUUGAAAUUUGGAGAUCCAAAAUACAAGAUCAGGUAGUGCCAUUCAGCAAUGUCAAUGUCUUCUGGCUUGUGUUUUAUUGUUGCUGCGUAACUAUCGUUUGCCUUGUACGUGGCACUAAGUGAUGAUCUCCAUCCUUUGUAUCGCACCAUCGCGAUGGCCCAAAUCUUUUCCUUUUCAUCAUCAAUGUCUACAAGCUCCCACGUAUUCUAUUUAUGUGAGAACACAUUCAGAAGGAGAAGUAUUUGGCUAUUUGAGGAUUAUUAUAGCAAUCUGGCAACAGAAUUAAACAUCGUACGUACCAGUAUGUCGGAUGCUAUAGAAUUUUUCACAUUUUCCUGUAUGUCUUUCCAUUUGUUGACUCCAAUAAGUGGAGCCCUUUUCCUUGUAAACAUUACAAUUUCAUCCACAUAUGACCGAGUGUUAGGGCCUACAGGACCUCCCAG
rnacentral:lncRNA from 1 species